rnacentral:rRNA from 1 species
CCUACGGGAGGCAGCAGUGAGGAAUAUUGGUCAAUGGACGAGAGUCUGAACCAGCCAAGUAGCGUGAAGGAUGACUGCCCUAUGGGUUGUAAACUUCUUUUAUAUGGGAAUAAAAUGUUCCACGUGUGGGCUUUUGUAUGUACCAUAUGAAUAAGGAUCGGCUAACUCCGUGCCAGCAGCCGCGGUAAUACGGAGGAUCCGAGCGUUAUCCGGAUUUAUUGGGUUUAAAGGGAGCGUAGGUGGAAUGCCAAGUCAGCGGUAAAAUCGCGGGGCUCAACCUCGCUCCGCCGUUGAAACUGGCGUUCUUGAGUGGGCGAGAAGUAUGCGGAAUGCGUGGUGUAGCGGUGAAAUGCAUAGAUAUCACGCAGAACUCCGAUUGCGAAGGCAGCAUACCGGCGCCCAACUGACGCUGAAGCACGAAAGCGUGGGUAUCGAACAGGAUUAGAUACCCCUGUAGUC